CUUUUGUUCCAGUGUGUUCCGGUGUUGGUGGUGGUUGUUCGUGGACUGGUGUGGUUCUCUUCGGGAUUGGUCAGUGGUGAGGAGUGGGUGCUUUUUCUGGUUUCUUCGGGUUUUGGGUGUGUGCGGGGCCUCCAUCGGCUUGUUUUCUGGUGGGUUCGUCCCGGGCGCGGACCGCCGUUCCCGGGGGUGGCCCCGUUGUUCCUCACCGCUGAUGAUGUUAUCAGCGUUGCUGCCUGCCUGUGGGUGUUGUGCCUGCCUGUUCUACUUGCCUGUUUUCCUGGAUCCGGUGGUUGCUGGUCUGCUGCUGCUUCGGUGUUCUCUGCUCGGGCCCUCGCUCUUCUGGUGUGUUGUCGCCUGUCGCGGGUUCUGCGGGUCCCUUCACUCCAGGUGCAGCCCAGAAUUCAUUGGAAAUAUACCUCU
rnacentral:lncRNA from 1 species